UCGUCUUUCUAGUGCAUGCAGGUAUUCCAGUUACCUAAACCCAUCCACUUAUAAAAAGCAGAAUCGAUAGAACUUCUUUGCAGUUCAAUUUGCUGACUCGAACAUGAAUUACUUAGUGAUAAUUUUGUUGUUGAGUUGUAUUAUAGUCAAAAUAGAGUCAGUUUGCAAAUGGACUCCUUGCGAAGGCUGGUUUAAAAAUGAUCAAAGUAUCUGCGAUCAAUACGAUUACGGUUUUUUCGCUAAAGCCACCGAUGGCAGCAGCUGUAAAUGGGACUCGGCAAAGAGAAGAUGUUGUAAAGCAGAAGUGAAAAUAUGUAAAUGGACAACAUGUGUUAGUGAACUCCAUGGACCCUAUUCAUGUAAGAAUCAAUACGGAAAUGAUUGGAGACAAACCGCUGGUAAAAAAGAGAAAUGCACUCGUUUAUUAUUUAAAUAUGAAUGUUGCAAUCAUUAAUUUCUUCAAUCAAUGGUUGUAAGUUGCAAUGCAUAAAAUAAUUUUUUAGUGACUCGGCCCCUUAAACCACUAUCCUAAUACUAAACUAGGUGUGUAUUAGGAUAGCGGUUUAAUAGGGGCCGAAAUGCUAUUUAUUGAGUGAUUUUGUUUUUGGGUAUUUUUUUUGUGUGAAACAAAUUAGAAAAAAGUAUGUCAUGUUGUUGGUUGUUUCGCCACCCAUUUUCGUUGACAUUUACAAAAUAAAUUGAAUAAAUUUUUGCAUAGAACGUAGACGUU